GGUUCAUUCAAAUUUCUGCCCUAUCAACUUUCGAUGGUAAGGUAUUGGCUUACCAUGGUUUCAACGGGUAACGGGGAAUUAGGGUUCGAUUCCGGAGAGGGAGCCUGAGAAACGGCUACCACAUCCAAGGAAGGCAGCAGGCGCGCAAAUUACCCAAUCCCGACACGGGGAGGUAGUGACAAUAAAUACUGAUACAGGGCUCUUUUGGGUCUUGUAAUUGGAAUGAGUACAAUUUAAACCUCUUAACGAGGAACAAUUGGAGGGCAAGUCUGGUGCCAGCAGCCGCGGUAAUUCCAGCUCCAAUAGCGUAUAUUAAAGUUGUUGCAGUUAAAAAGCUCGUAGUUGAAUCUUGGGCCUGGCUGGCAGGUCCGCCUCACCGCGUGUACUUGUCCGGCCGGGCCUUCUCUUCUGGAGAACCUCAUGCCCUUCAUUGGGUGUGUUGGGGACCAGGACUUUUACUUUGAAAAAAUUAGAGUGUUCAAAGCAGGCCUUUGCUCGAAUACGUUAGCAUGGAAUAAUAGAAUAGGACGUGCGGUCCUAUUUUGUUGGUUUCUAGGACCGCCGUAAUGAUUAAUAGGGACAGUCGGGGGCAUCAGUAUUCAAUUGUCAGAGGUGAAAUUCUUGGAUUUAUUGAAGACUAACUACUGCGAAAGCAUUUGCCAAGGAUGUUUUCAUUAAUCAGUGAACGAAAGUUAGGGGAUCGAAGACGAUCAGAUACCGUCGUAGUCUUAACCAUAAACUAUGCCGACUAGGGAUCGG
rnacentral:rRNA from 1 species